rnacentral:rRNA from 1 species
AUUGAACGCUGGCGGCAGGCCUAACACAUGCAAGUCGAGCGGAAACGAUGGAAGCUUGCUUCCAGGCGUCGAGCGGCGGACGGGUGAGUAAUGCAUAGGAAUCUGCCCGAUAGUGGGGGAUAACGUGGGGAAACUCACGCUAAUACCGCAUACGUCCUACGGGAGAAAGCAGGGGAUCUUCGGACCUUGCGCUAUCGGAUGAGCCUAUGUCGGAUUAGCUAGUUGGUGAGGUAACGGCUCACCAAGGCGACGAUCCGUAGCUGGUCUGAGAGGAUGAUCAGCCACACUGGGACUGAGACACGGCCCAGACUCCUACGGGAGGCAGCAGUGGGGAAUAUUGGACAAUGGGGGAAACCCUGAUCCAGCCAUGCCGCGUGUGUGAAGAAGGCCUUCGGGUUGUAAAGCACUUUCAGCGAGGAAGAAGGCCUGAGGGCUAAUACCCUUCAGGAAGGACAUCACUCGCAGAAGAAGCACCGGCUAACUCCGUGCCAGCAGCCGCGGUAAUACGGAGGGUGCGAGCGUUAAUCGGAAUUACUGGGCGUAAAGCGCGCGUAGGUGGCUUGAUAAGCCGGUUGUGAAAGCCCCGGGCUCAACCUGGGAACGGCAUCCGGAACUGUCAGGCUAGAGUGCAGGAGAGGAAGGUAGAAUUCCCGGUGUAGCGGUGAAAUGCGUAGAGAUCGGGAGGAAUACCAGUGGCGAAGGCGGCCUUCUGGACUGACACUGACACUGAGGUGCGAAAGCGUGGGUAGCAAACAGGAUUAGAUACCCUGGUAGUCCACGCCGUAAACGAUGUCGACUAGCCGUUGGGUUCCUUGAGAACUUUGUGGCGCAGUUAACGCGAUAAGUCGACCGCCU